AGCAGCCGCGGUAAUUCCAGCUCCAAUAGCGUAUAUUAAAGUUGUUGCAGUUAAAAAGCUCGUAGUUGAAUUUCGGGAUUGGCGCAUCGGUCGUGCCUUACGGGGUAUGAACUGGUGCAGUCAAUUUCUCACCUCCUGGAGAACCGCGAUGUCCUUAAUUGGGUGCCGCGGGGAACCAGGACCUUUACUUUGAAAAAAUUAGAGUGUUUAAAGCAGGCAUUUUUGCUUGAAUACAUUAGCAUGGAAUAAUAAAAUAGGACGGCAUGGUUCUAUUUUGUUGGUUUCUAGGACCACCGUAAUGAUUAAUAGGGAUAGUUGGGGGCAUUAGUAUUCAAUUGUCAGAGGUGAAAUUCUUGGAUUUAUUGAAGACUAACUACUGCGAAAGCAUUUGCCAAGGAUGUUUUCAUUAAUCAAGAACGAAAGUUAGGGGAUCGAAGACGAUCAGAUACCGUCGUAGUCUUAACCAUAAACUAUGCCGACUAGGAAUCAGACGAUGUUAAUUUUUUAAUGACUCGUUUGG
rnacentral:rRNA from 1 species